AGAAAUUUCAUCUCAGAUCUUUUGUAUUCUUUACUUUUUUUUAAAUGCAUACAUUGUUUCUAAGGCAUGCUGCAUAUAAAUUAGAAACACAUAAAAAUUAAAAGUAAAAUUACAUGUAAGUUUUAGAAUGAUAAUUGCAAUUUAAAAAAAUCAAAGAGCAUUAACAACUCAAAUACAUGUACUAGUUACAUUUUUCCAGUAUUUGUAAAGAUUACAACCAUCAUGAGUUUGAUUUAUAUAAAAUUUACAUUGAUAUAUACUGUACGUAUAUAUACCGAUAAAGUAAGAAAUGAAUGUGUAAAAGUCUCCAUUGUCUUUCAUGUAUCAGGUGAUGCCAUUUGAUGCAGAAUGUUUUCUGUUGUAUAAAAUAAACGAGUUUGAAUUUGUU
rnacentral:sRNA from 1 species